rnacentral:rRNA from 1 species
UGCUGGAGGUAUCAGAAGUGCGAAUGCUGACAUAAGUAACGAUAAAGCGGGUGAAAAGCCCGCUCGCCGGAAGACCAAGGGUUCCUGUCCAACGUUAAUCGGGGCAGGGUGAGUCGACCCCUAAGGCGAGGCCGAAAGGCGUAGUCGAUGGGAAACAGGUUAAUAUUCCUGUACUUGGUGUUACUGCGAAGGGGGGACGGAGAAGGCUAUGUUAGCCGGGCGACGGUUGUCCCGGUUUAAGCAUGUAGGCUGAUUGUCCAGGCAAAUCCGGAUAAUCAAGGCUGAGGUGUGAUGACGAGGCACUACGGUGCUGAAGUAACAAAUGCCCUGCUUCCAGGAAAAGCCUCUAAGCAUCAGGUAACAUCAAAUCGUACCCCAAACCGACACAGGUGGUCAGGUAGAGAAUACCAAGGCGCUUGAGAGAACUCGGGUGAAGGAACUAGGCAAAAUGGUGCCGUAACUUCGGGAGAAGGCACGCUGGUGUGUAGGUGAAGCCCCUGCGGGUGGAGCUGAGACCAGUCGAAGAUACCAGCUGGCUGCAACUGUUUAUUAAAAACACAGCACUGUGCAAACACGAAAGUGGACGUAUACGGUGUGACGCCUGCCCGGUGCCGGAAGGUUAAUUGAUGGGGUUAUCCGUAAGGAGAAGCUCUUGAUCGAAGCCCCGGUAAACGGCGGCCGUAACUAUAACGGUCCUAAGGUAGCGAAAUUCCUUGUCGGGUAAGUUCCGACCUGCACGAAUGGCGUAAUGAUGGCCAGGCUGUCUCCACCCGAGACUCAGUGAAAUUGAACUCGCUGUGAAGAUGCAGUGUACCCGCGGCAAGACGGAAAGACCCCGUGAACCUUUACUAUAGCUUGACACUGAACAUUGAGCCUUGAUGUGUAGGAUAGGUGGGAGGCUUUGAAGCGUGGACGCCAGUCUGCGUGGAGCCAACCUUGAAAUACCACCCUUUAAUGUUUGAUGUUCUAACGUUGGCCCCUUACCGGGGUUGCGGACAGUGUCUGGUGGGUAGUUUGACUGGGGCGGUCUCCUCCCAAAGCGUAACGGAGGAGCACGAAGGUUAGCUAAUCCUGGUCGGACAUCAGGAGGUUAGUGCAAUGGCAUAAGCUAGCUUGACUGCGAGCGUGACGGCGCGAGCAGGUGCGAAAGCAGGUCAUAGUGAUCCGGUGGUUCUGAAUGGAAGGGCCAUCGCUCAACGGAUAAAAGGUACUCCGGGGAUAACAGGCUGAUACCGCCCAAGAGUUCAUAUCGACGGCGGUGUUUGGCACCUCGAUGUCGGCUCAUCACAUCCUGGGGCUGAAGUAGGUCCCAAGGGUAUGGCUGUUCGCCAUUUAAAGUGGUACGCGAGCUGGGUUUAGAACGUCGUGAGACAGUUCGGUCCCUAUCUGCCGUGGGCGCUGGAGAAUUGAGGGGGGCUGCUCCUAGUACGAGAGGACCGGAGUGGACGCAUCACUGGUGUUCGGGUUGUCAUGCCAAUGGCACUGCCCGGUAGCUAAAUGCGGAAGAGAUAAGUGCUGAAAGCAUCUAAGCACGAAACUUGCCCCGAGAUGAGUUCUCCCUGAGACUUUAAGUCUCCUGAAGGAACGUUGAAGACGACGACGUUGAUAGGCCGGGUGUGUAAGCGCAGCGAUGCGUUGAGCUAACCGGUACUAAUGAACCGUGAGGCUUAACCUU